AGCCCUCAGAAAAUUAAUUUUGGGUGAAGCCUGCCCUAUGACUUAAGUUAAAUGGCCGCGGUACUCUGACCGUGCUAAGGUAGCAUAAUCAAUUGGCUUUUAAAUGGAGUCUGGAAUGAAAGGAAAUACGGGGUAUAGCUGUCUCUAAUUCUUUAUUAUGAAUUUACUAAUGAGGUGAAAAGGCCUCUAAAAGAAAAAAGACGAGAAGACCCUCAGAGUUUUUAUUUUUGUUGGGGCGACAUAGAGUCAAAAUGAACACUCUGAAUUAAAUAAGACGGGUUUAUCAUGUUUAGGCAAACUACCUGAGGGAUAACAGCAUAAUCUUUUUUGGGUUUGUGACCUCGAUGUUGGACUAGGAAGUCUGCUAGCUAGCCGCUAGUAAGAGGGAUUCUGUUCGAAUUUUAACUCCU
rnacentral:rRNA from 1 species